rnacentral:rRNA from 1 species
GAUGAACGCUGACAGAAUGCUUAACGCAUGCAAGUCGAUGGGGAAGUGGUGCUUGCACCAUGGUAACCAUGGCGGACGGGUGAGUAACGCGUAAGGAACUUGCCUGCGGGACUGGGAUAACAGCAGGAAACUGCUGAUAAUACCGGAUAAGGUCAUUAAGCUGCAUAGCUUAGUGAUGAAAGGAGACGCCUGCGGAGAGCCUUGCGUCCUAUUAGCUAGUUGGAGGGGUAACGGCCCACCAAGGCGAAGAUAGGUAGCCGGCCUGAGAGGGUGGACGGCCACAAGGGGACUGAGAUACGGCCCUUACUCCUACGGGAGGCAGCAGUGGGGAAUAUUGGACAAUGGGGGCAACCCUGAUCCAGCAAUUCUGUGUGCACGAAGACGGUUUUCGGAUUGUAAAGUGCUUUCAGCAGGGAAGAAGGAAGUGACGGUACCUGCAGAAGAAGCGACGGCUAAAUACGUG